rnacentral:rRNA from 1 species
UACGUAGGGUGCAAGCGUUGUCCGGAAUUAUUGGGCGUAAAGAGCUCGUAGGCGGUCUGUCGCGUCUGCUGUGAAAACUCGGGGCUUAACCCCGGGCCUGCAGUGGGUACGGGCAGACUAGAGUGCGGUAGGGGAGACUGGAAUUCCUGGUGUAGCGGUGAAAUGCGCAGAUAUCAGGAGGAACACCGGUGGCGAAGGCGGGUCUCUGGGAAGUAACUGACGCUGAGAAGCGAAAGCGUGGGUAGCGAACAGG